rnacentral:rRNA from 1 species
AGUAACACGUCGAUAAUCUGCCCUUAGGUUAGGAAUACCCACGGAAAACUGUGGCUAAUACCUGAUAUUGAAAGAGUUCUGGAAUGAAUCUUUCGCUAAACGCAAGGCCUAAGGAUGAGUCGGCGGCGGAUUAGGCAGUUGGCGGUGUAACGGACCACCAAACCUAAGAUCCGUAGGGGCCCUGAAAGGGGUAGCCCCGAGAGGGACACUGAAAUACUGGUCCCAGCUCCACGGAGUGCAGCAGGCGCGUAACCUCCACAAUGCGCGAAAGCGUGAUGGGGGGAUCCUGAGUGCUUACAUUUUUUGUAAGCUUUUGUCAAGAGUAAAUAUCUUGGAGAAUAAGUGGUGGGUAAGACCGGUGCCAGCAGCCGCGGUAACCCCGGCGCCACGAGUGGCAAUCUUGUAUUUGGCCUAAAGCAUUCGUAGCCGGCUUAAUAAAUCCUUUGUGAAAUCGUUGAACUCAAUACAACGGCGUGCAGGGGACACUGUUAAGCUUGAGACUGGGAGGAGUUGGGGGUAUUUUUAGGGGAACGGUUAAAUGUGAUAAUCCUAGAAAGACCACCUGUGGCGAAGGCGCCCAACUAGAACAGUUCUGACGGUGAGGGAUGAAAGCUAGGGGAGCGAUCCGGAUUAGAUACCCGAGUAGUCCUAGCUGUAAACUCUGCGAGCUAGGUGUCGCAUAUUCUACGAGAAUGUGCGGUGUCGAAACGAAGGUGAUAAGCUCGCCGCCUGGGAAGUACGGUCGCAAGAC